UACUAGCCCGGAUGGAAACGGCAUCCUUUUUCUGGCUUCUUUAGCCAGGAAAAGAUAUAGGGUACAGCUGGAAUUAGC
rnacentral:sRNA from 1 species